GUCAAUGGCCAUAUCACCCUGAAGCACCCAAUCUCAUCUAAUUGGAAGCUAAGCAGGUUUGGGCCUGGUUAGUACUUGGAUAGGAGAACCUGGCCUUAAUACU
rnacentral:rRNA from 1 species